rnacentral:misc_RNA from 1 species
UCUCCGUAGGUGAACCUGCGGAGGGAUCAUUACAGAGUUCUCGCCCUCACGGGUAGAUCUCCCACCCACUGUUACCGUUACUGUCGUUUCUUUGGCGGGCCGCCGGGUCCCCGGCCGCCGGCGCCUAGCUGCCGGCGCGCGCCCGCCAGAGGCCUUCAAACUCUGAAUGUUAGUGUCGUCUGAGUACUAUACAAUAGUUAAAACUUUCAACAACGGAUCUCUUGGUUCUG